rnacentral:rRNA from 1 species
AUGAACGCUGGCGGCGUGCCUAAUACAUGCAAGUCGAGCGAACAGAUGAGGAGCUUGCUCCUCUGACGUUAGCGGCGGACGGGUGAGUAACACGUGGAUAACCUACCUAUAAGACUGGGAUAACUUCGGGAAACCGGAGCUAAUACCGGAUAAUAUAUUGAACCGCAUGGUUCAAUAGUGAAAGACGGUUUUGCUGUCACUUAUAGAUGGAUCCGCGCCGCAUUAGCUAGUUGGUAAGGUAACGGCUUACCAAGGCAACGAUGCGUAGCCGACCUGAGAGGGUGAUCGGCCACACUGGAACUGAGACACGGUCCAGACUCCUACGGGAGGCAGCAGUAGGGAAUCUUCCGCAAUGGGCGAAAGCCUGACGGAGCAGCGCCGCGUGAGUGAUGAAGGUCUUCGGAUCGUAAAACUCUGUUAUUAGGGAAGAACAAAUGUGAAAGUAACUAUGCACGUCUUGACGGUACCUAAUCAGAAAGCCACGGCUAACUACGUG